rnacentral:rRNA from 1 species
UACGUAGGGUGCGAGCGUUGUCCGGAAUUAUUGGGCGUAAAGAGCUUGUAGGCGGUCUGUCGCGUCUGCUGUGAAAAUCCGGGGCUCAACCCCGGACUUGCAGUGGGUACGGGCAGACUAGAGUGUGGUAGGGGAGACUGGAAUUCCUGGUGUAGCGGUGAAAUGCGCAGAUAUCAGGAGGAACACCGAUGGCGAAGGCGGCUCACUGGCCCGGUAC